AGGGUUUGAUCAUGGCUCAGAGUGAAGGCUAUAAGCCUGCUUGAAUACAUGCGAGUUGAAUGGUUAAAACCAUAGCGUACGGGUGAGUAAUAGGCUUAUAUCUGGCUUCAACUUCGGAAUAAUCCUAUCCCUCUGGGGAGAAGGUAACAGGAAAAUACCGAAUAACUAUAUAAAGGUCCGCCGGUUGAAGAUGAUUAGGUUCAGUAUUAGGUAGUUGGUGAAUAAAAGCUCACCAAGCCGAUGAUGCUUAGUUGGUCUGAUAGGACGAUCAAUCACACUGGGACUGAGACAAGGCCCAGGUUUCAUUUGAAGGCAGCAGUAAGGAAUAUUGGACAAUGAGCGAAAGCUUGAUCCAGCAAGGCUUGGUGAGGGAUUGAAGGCUUAGGUUGUAAACCUCUUUUUUAACUGAGGAUAAUGACAUUAGGUUAAGAAUAAGUCCCGACUAACUUCGUGCCAGCAGUCGCGGUAAUACGGAGGGGGCAAGCCUUAUUCGUCAUAACUGGGCGUAAAGGGCCCGUAGGUGGUUUUCUGAUAUGUUAUUUGUCAAAAAUUGUAGCUUAACUACAGAGAGGCAUUUAAAACAGGAAAGCUAGAGUCUGACAGAGGAAGAUGGAAUUUUUUAAUUAGGGUUAGAAUCCAGAUAAGUAAAAAAGAACAUCAUGUGCGAAAGCGAUUUUCUUGUUCAGUACUGACGCUGAGGGGCGAAGGCGUAGGUAGCGAACAGGAUUUGAGACCCUGGUAGUCUACGCUGUCAACGAUGAGUGCUAGCUUUUAGAAAUCUAGAAGACAUAGCUAAGGCAUUAAGCACUCCGCCUGAGGAGUACGAGCGCAAGCUUAAAAAUCAACGGAAUUGGCGGGGUUCAAACAAGUGGUGGAGCAUGUGGUUUAAUGCGAUAAUACGCGCGUAACCUUACCAGGUCC
rnacentral:rRNA from 1 species